UCCAAUCAGAAGAAGAAGAAGAAACAGAAAGCAUCAGACAUACGAGAAGAAGAACUACUACCGAAAUCCCGGUCCAUCCAAAUAGUUUCGAAUCUAUAUGCUCUACGUUGGCAUAGAAGGGGAUACUGAAUAAUAGCAAGCAACAAUUUGCAAGCAAUUCCAAACGUCUUGAAGAAA
rnacentral:sRNA from 1 species